rnacentral:rRNA from 1 species
GACGAACGCUGGCGGCGUGCUUAACACAUGCAAGUCGAACGGAAAGGCCCUGCUUCUGUGGGGUGCUCGAGUGGCGAACGGGUGAGUAACACGUGAGUAACCUGCCCUUGACUUUGGGAUAACUUCAGGAAACUGGGGCUAAUACCGGAUAGGAGCUCCUGCUGCAUGGUGGGGGUUGGAAAGUUUCGGCGGUUGGGGAUGGACUCGCGGCUUAUCAGCUUGUUGGUGGGGUAGUGUCUUACCAAGGCUUUGACGGGUAGCCGGCCUGAGAGGGUGACCGGCUACAUUGGGACUGAGAUGCGGCCCAGACUCCUACGGGAGGCAGGGGUGGGGAAUAUUGCACAAGGGGCGGAAGCAUGAUGCAGCAACGCCGCGUGCGGGAUGACGGCAUUCGGGUUGUAAACCGCUUUCGCCUGUGACGAAGCGUGAGUGACGGUAAUGGGUAAAGAAGCACCGGCUAACUACGU